rnacentral:rRNA from 1 species
GAUGAACGCUGGCGGCGUGCCUAAUACAUGCAAGUCGAGCGAACGGACGAGAAGCUUGCUUCUCUGAUGUUAGCGGCGGACGGGUGAGUAACACGUGGAUAACCUCCCUAUAAGACUGGGAUAACUUCGGGAAACCGGAGCUAAUACCGGAUAAUAUUUUGAACCGCAUGGUUCAAAAGUGAAAGACGGUCUUGCUGUCACUUAUAGAUGGAUCCGCGCUACAUUAGCUAGUUGGUAAGGUAACGGCUUACCAAGGCAACGAUGCAUAGCCGACCUGAGAGGGUGAUCGGCCACGCUGGGGGUGAGACACGGGCCAGACUCCUACGGGAGGCAGCAGUAGGGAAUCUUCCGCAAUGGGCGAAAGCCUGACGGAGCAACGCCGCGUGAGUGAUGAAGGUCUUCGGAUCGUAAAACACUGUUAUUAGGGAAGAACAUAUGUGUAAGUAACUGUGCACAUCUUGACGGUACCUAAUCAGAAAGCCACGGCUAACUACGUG